rnacentral:rRNA from 1 species
GACGAACGCUGGCGGCGUGCUUAACACAUGCAAGUCGAACGAUGAAGCCGGAGCUUGCUCUGGUGAAUUAGUGGCGAACGGGUGAGUAACACGUGAGUAACCUGCCCUUGACUCUGGGAUAACUGCGGGAAACUGUAGCUAAUACCGGAUACGACCCUCGGAGGCAUCUCCUGGGGGUGGAAAGAAUUUCGGUCAAGGAUGGACUCGCGGCGUAUCAGCUAGUUGGUGAGGUAAAGGCUCACCAAGGCGACGACGGGUAGCCGGCCUGGGAGGGUGACGGGCCACACUGGGACGGUAGAACGGCCCAGACUCCUACGGGAGGCAGGAGGGGGGAAUAUUGCACAAUGGGCGCAAGCCUGAUGCAGCAACGCCGCGUGAGGGAUGACGGCCUUCGGGUUGUAAACCUCUUUUAGCAGGGAAGAAGCGAAGGUGACGGUACCUGCAGAAAAAGCACCGGCUAACUACGUGCCAGCAGCCGCGGUAAUAC